rnacentral:tRNA from 1 species
GCUCGCUUAGCUCAGUUGGUUAGAGCGUCGUACUAAUAAUGCGAAGGUCGCCAGUUCGACCCUGGUAGCGAGCA